UGCAUCUGAAAUCAAGCAGGAUCACCCGCUGAACUUAAGCAUAUCAAUAAGCGGAGGAGAAGAAAUUAACUAAGAUUGCCCUCAGUAACGGCGAGUGAAGCGGCAAGAGCCCAAACUGGAAAUCUUGCGCACCCCGUGCGCACGAAUUGUAAUCUAAAGGAUGUUCACUCAAAGGGAGGUGGCGCAGAAGUGUCUUCGAACGGACCGCCAGAGAGGGUGCUAGCCCCGUAUGUGGUGCCACCGCCUAACGAGUGGGUGUUCAACGAGUCGGGUUGUUUUGUAUUGCAGCCCUAAGUGGGAGAUAGACUUCUUCUAAGGCUAAAUAUAUAUGGGAAACCGAUAGCGAACAAGUACUGUGAAGGAAAGAUGAAAAGAACUUUGAAAAGAGAGUCAAAAGACUUGAAAUCGUUGAGAAGGAAGCGGUAGAAAUUUAUUCUUCGGCGGAAGUCGGUGUUAGUUGCCAAUCCAUUGACGUCUGUUAGCACUGCAAAGGCUACUGGCGGCACGUGGGGAAGCGGCUGGCUUGACUUCCGUCGUGAGGCAAAAUGGGGUCGCGCAUCCGCAGAGGCCCUCCACGACGGGUCCGGUUCGCUGGGCARCGUGGGGUGUSCCGSCGGGGGUGCSGCCUGAGRAUGCUUUGUGCGAUUUUGCCAAAAUGGUUUUUACCGACCCGUCUUGAAACACGGACCAAGGAGUCUAACAUAUAUGCGAGUGUGCUGGUGGAAAAACCAACACGCGUAAUGAAGGUGAGCGAUGCCAAGCCGCAAGGUAGCAGCAUCGACCGACCAUGAUCCUCUGGAGAAAGGUUUGAGUAAGAGCAUAUCUGUUAGGACCCGAAAGAUGGUGAACUAUCCUGAGUAGGGUGAAGCCAGGGGAAACUCUGGUGGAGGCUCGUAGCGGUWCUGACGUGCAAAUCGWUCGUCRAACUUGGGUAUAGGGGCGAAAGACUAAUCGAACCAUCUAGUAGCUGGUUCCCUCCGAAGUUUCCCUCWGGAUAGYUGGGACAAYAACGCAGUUUUAUUAGGUAAAGCGAAUGAUUAGAGGMAUCGGGGGUAAKWUGCCCUCGACCUAUYCUCRAACUUUAAAUUGRUAGAACCCUGGCCUUUCUUAAGUGAGGCACGGGGGMUCAAUGCGUGUCCCYRGUGGGCCAUUUUUGGUAAGCAGAACUGGCGAUGAGGGUUGCUCCUAACGUUGAGUUAAGGUGCCCAACUGCACGCUCAUCARAUACUACAAAGGGUGUUGGCUCAUACAGACAGCAGGACGGUGGCCAUGGAAGUCGGAACCCGCUAAGGAGUGUGUAACAACUCACCUGCCGAAUGAACUASCCCGAAAAUGGAUGGCGCUCAAGCGUACGACCGAUCUCRMCMWUU
rnacentral:rRNA from 1 species